rnacentral:tRNA from 1 species
GAACCUGCUGGAUAGCCUGUGUGUUGGCGGACUUUUAAUCCGCGGGUCGCGGGUUCGAUCCCCGCCGGGCCCA